rnacentral:misc_RNA from 1 species
GAUGAAGAACGUAGCGAAAUGCGAUAAGUAAUGUGAAUUGCAGAAUUCCGUGAAUCAUCGAAUCUUUGAACGCACAUUGCGCCCUCUGGUAUUCCGGAGGGCAUGCCUGUCCGAGCGUCAUUGCAAACCCUCAAGCCCGGCUUGCGUGAUGGGCUCUAGCGUCUGCUCCCCCUGGGGCAGACGGGCCCGAAAGAUAGCGGCAGCGUUAUAUGAUGCUACAGUGUAUGGGGAUUCUUCAUCACGCACUGUUCGGUGUCCGUGGCGCUCGCCCCCCUCUGUCACCUCACGGUUUGACCUCGGAUCAGGUAGGGAUACCCGCUGAACUUAAGCAUAUCAAUAAGCGGAGGA